UUUCUUCUCCAUUAGCACCACCACCACCAAACUCCAUCGUCGGUCACUGCCUCACCGAUGCGAGGUCGAAGGCCCCGGCGCAGCAUCUUCCUCCUCUGAAGAAGUUCCUCCAGGCAGGUGCGUCCCGGGAGCAACUCCAUUGGAGUGGCCAUUGGCCAGCCGAAGGUUCACCGGGCUCCAUCGUCCCGGCCGACGGCCGGCGUGCUGCAGCACGGCGCGUGGCACUAUGUGCCAGCGGCGGGGCGCCGAUAGGCCAGUGGAGCUGCUCGCCCAGUUGUCGAAGACGUCCCCGAGCGCAGCAGCCCGCGCGGGGAGGUGCAGCCCGAGGCUAGCGCUCGACGAAGAAGCACCAGUGUCCGCGUUCAUGGCGCAUGCACCAAUCGCCGAG
rnacentral:lncRNA from 1 species